UGCAGUCGAGCGGUAGCAUUUCUAGCUUGCUAGAAGAUGACGAGCGGCGGACGGGUGAGUAAUGCUUGGGAAUAUGCCUUAGGGUGGGGGACAACAGUUGGAAACGACUGCUAAUACCGCAUAACGUCUACGGACCAAAGGGGGCUUCGGCUCUCGCCCUUAGAUUAGCCCAAGUGGGAUUAGCUAGUUGGUGAGGUAAUGGCUCACCAAGGCGACGAUCCCUAGCUGGUUUGAGAGGAUGAUCAGCCACACUGGAACUGAGACACGGUCCAGACUCCUACGGGAGGCAGCAGUGGGGAAUAUUGCACAAUGGGCGCAAGCCUGAUGCAGCCAUGCCGCGUGUGUGAAGAAGGCCUUAGGGUUGUAAAGCACUUUCAGUAAGGAGGAAAGGUUAGUAGUUAAUACCUGCUAGCUGUGACGUUACUUACAGAAGAAGCACCGGCUAACUCCGUGCCAGCAGCCGCGGUAAUACGGAGGGUGCGAGCGUUAAUCGGAAUUACUGGGCGUAAAGCGUACGCAGGCGGUUUGUUAAGCGAGAUGUGAAAGCCCCGGGCUCAACCUGGGAACUGCAUUUCGAACUGGCAAACUAGAGUAUGAGAGAGGGUGGUGGAAUUUCAGGCGUAGCGGUGAAAUGCGUAGAGAUCUGAAGGAAUACCGAUGGCGAAGGCAGCCACCUGGGUCAAUACUGACGCUCAUGUACGAAAGCGUGGGGAGCAAACGGGAUCAGAUACCCCGGUAGUCCACGCCGUAAACGAUGUCUACUAGGAGCUGGGGUCUUCGGACAACUUUU
rnacentral:rRNA from 1 species